GCACUCGUGGUGGAAUUGGUAGACACGCAACCUUGAGGUGGUUGUGCCCCUAAAGGCGUGAAGGUUCGAGUCCUUUCGAGUGCACCA
rnacentral:tRNA from 6 species